UACGGAGGGGGCUAGCGUUGUUCGGAAUUACUGGGCGUAAAGCGCGCGUAGGCGGAUCUGCAAGUCGGGGGUGAAGGCCCGAGGCUCAACCUCGGAACUGCCUUCGAUACUGCGGGUCUCGAGUCCGGGAGAGGUGAGUGGAAUUCCUAGUGUAGAGGAGAAAUUCGUAGAUAUUAGGAAGAACACCAGUGGCGAAGGCGGCUCACUGGCCCGGUACUGACGCUGAGGCGCGAAAGCGUGGGGAGCAAACAGG
rnacentral:rRNA from 1 species